GUGAGGAAUAUUGGUCAAUGGGCGAGAGCCUGAACCAGCCAAGUCGCGUGAAGGAAGAAGGAUCUAUGGUUCGUAAACUUCUUUUGCAGGGGAAUAAAGUGCGGGACGUGUCCUGUUUUGUAUGUACCCUGAGAAUAAGGAUCGGCUAACUCCGUGCCAGCAGCCGCGGUAAUACGGAGGAUCCGAGCGUUCUCCGGAGUUAUUGGGUUUAAAGGGUGCGUAGGUGGUUUGAUAAGUCAGCGGUGAAAGUGUGCAGCUUAACUGUAAAAAUGCCGUUGAAACUGUCGGACUUGAGUGUAAAUGAGGUAGGCGGAAUGCGUGGUGUAGCGGUGAAAUGCAUAGAUAUCACGCAGAACUCCGAUUGCGAAGGCAGCUUACUAAGCUACAACUGACACUGAAGCACGAAAGCGUGGGGAUCAAACAGGAUUAGAUACCCGUGUAGUCC
rnacentral:rRNA from 1 species